GAUGAAGAACGCAGCGAAAUGCGAUAAGUAAUGUGAAUUGCAGAAUUCAGUGAAUCAUCGAAUCUUUGAACGCACAUUGCGCCCGCCAGUAUUCUGGCGGGCAUGCCUGUUCGGGCGUCAUUUCAACCAUCAAGCCCCCGGCUUGUGUUGGGGACCUGCGGCUGCCGCAGGCCCUGAAAAGCAGUGGCGGGCUCGCUGUCACACCGAGCGUAGUAGCAUACAUCUCGCUCUGGGCGUGCUGCGGGUUCCGGCCGUUAAACCACCUUCAUAACCCAAGGUUGACCUCGGAUCAGGUAGGAAGACCCGCUGAACUUAAGCAUAUCAAUAAGCGGAGGA
rnacentral:misc_RNA from 1 species